rnacentral:lncRNA from 1 species
GACAGAGACGAGAUGGUAAAAUCCCCAGCAACAGGACGGUUUGACAUUCCCAAUUCAAGACAUGCGGCUUGGUUCUUUAGACAUAUGGCAUUACAAAAACUCCAAUUCACAAAGUUGUUCAAACAGACAUAAAUAGCCAGAACUCAAAAAACAUCAUGCUUUUUAACAGAACAACUCAAUUGAUAAACCACAGGCACCAUAAUCAGUGUAACACAAGAAAAACAACCACAAUGAGAUAAGGGUAAAAGAUACAGACCAUUCAUUACACAACUAUUCUCAGUUAGUUACAGAUUCAGAGUUCUGCUCAUUGAAGGCAAAAGACGAGUCUCUUAGGACUUAUUAAACACUGAUAGAGAAACAGAGAAGAGUGAGAAACAUGAUCGUGCCUAAUCCUUGGCACUGGGUAUUCAUCUGCAUAAUCAAGAGAGUAAAAAGUUAAUCUAACUGAAUAAAUUUUCAGAAUCUCAACAAAGUAACAUAUCAAUGAAAAAUUAAGUAAAACAUGCUGCUUAUGUCCCAAAACAUAAACCUCU